rnacentral:rRNA from 1 species
UACGUAGGGGGCGAGCGUUGUCCGGAAUCAUUGGGCGUAAAGAGCUCGUAGGCGGUUCAGUAAGUCGGCUGUGAAAUUCCGAGGCUCAACCUCGGAACUGCAGUCGAUACUAUUGUGACCAGAGUCCGGUAGAGGAGAAUGGAAUUCCCGGUGUAGCGGUGAAAUGCGCAGAUAUCGGGAGGAACACCAGUAGCGAAGGCGGUUCUCUGGGCCGGUACUGACGCUGAGGAGCGAAAGCGUGGGGAGCAAACAGG